GGGGAUAUAGCUCAGUUGGUAGAGUGCUUGCCUUGCAUGCAAAAGUCCCUGGGUUCGAUCCUCAGCCCCG
rnacentral:tRNA from 1 species